rnacentral:rRNA from 1 species
GACGAAGGGGGCUAGCGUUGUUCGGAAUUACUGGGCGUAAAGCGCGUGUAGGCGGUUGCCCAAGUCGGGUGUGAAAGCCUUGAGCUCAACUCAAGAAAUGCACUCGGUACUGGGUGACUAGAGGACCGGAGAGGAUAGUGGAAUUCCCAGUGUAGUGGUGAAAUGCGUAGAUAUCGGGGGGAACACCAGUGGCGAAGGCGACUACCUGGCCUGUUCUUGACGCUGAGGCGCGAAAGCUAGGGGAGCAAACGGG